UACAGAGGGGGCAAGCGUUGUUCGGAAUUACUGGGCGUAAAGGGCGCGUAGGCGGCCUUCUAAGUCGAACGUGAAAUCCCCGGGCUCAACCCGGGAACUGCGUCCGAUACUGGAAGGCUUGAAUCCGGGAGAGGGAUGCGGAAUUCCAGGUGUAGCGGUGAAAUGCGUAGAUAUCUGGAGGAACACCGGUGGCGAAGGCGGCAUCCUGGACCGGUAUUGACGCUGAUGCGCGAAAGCCAGGGGAGCAAACGGG
rnacentral:rRNA from 1 species